rnacentral:rRNA from 1 species
GAACGACGCGUGGCGGCAUGCCGAACACAUGCAAGUCGAACGGGAUCCUAGCUUGCUAGGUGAGAGUGGCGGACGGGUGAGUAACACGUGGGAAUCUGCCUUUUGGUUCGGGAUAACCGCGGGAAACUGCGGCUAAUACCGAAUGCCCUCGAGAGAGGAAAGAUUUAUCGCCAGAAGAGGGGCCCGCGUCCGAUUAGGUAGUUGGUGAGGUAAUGGCUCACCAAGCCGACGAUCGGUAGCUGGUCUGAGAGGAUGAUCAGCCACACUGGGACUGAGAUACGGCCCAGACUCCUACGGGAGGCAGCAGUGGGGAAUAUUGGACAAUGGGCGAAAGCCUGAUCCAGCCAUGCCGCGUGAGUGAUGAAGGCCCUAGGGUUGUAAAGCUCUUUCAACGGUGAAGAUAAUGACGGUAACCGUAGAAGAAGCCCCGGCUAACUUCGUG